rnacentral:rRNA from 1 species
CACGUAGGGGGCGAGCGUUGUCCGGAAUCAUUGGGCGUAAAGAGCUCGUAGGCGGCUCGGUAAGUCGGGUGUGAAACCCCCAGGCUCAACCUGGGGACGCCACCCGAUACUGCUGUGCUAGAGUCCAGUAGGGGGAGUGUGGAAUUCCCGGUGUAGCGGUGAAAUGCGCAGAUAUCGGGAGGAACACCAGCGGCGAAGGCGGCACGUCUGGGACGGUACUGACGCUGAGACGCGAAAGCGUGGGGAGCGAACGAG